rnacentral:rRNA from 1 species
GGGGUGCAGCAGGCGCGCAAACUUUACAAUGCGAGCAAUCGUGAUAAGGAAACCCUGAGUGCCUGUCGAUGCAGGCUGUUCAUAUAUCUAAAUCAUAUGUGAAGAAAGGGCAGGGCAAGACCGGUGCCAGCCGCCGCGGUAAUACCGGCUGCUCGAGUGAUGGCCACUAUUACUGGGUUUAAAGCGUCCGUAGCUUGACUGUNANGUCUCUUGGGAAAUCUUCACGCUCAACGUGAAGGCGUCUAAGAGAUACCGGCAGUCUUGGAACUGGGAGAGGUAAACCGUACUUCGGGGGNANGAGUGAAAUCUUGUAAUCCUCGAGGGACGACCUAUGGCGAAGGCAGUUUACCAGAACAGCUUCGACAGUGAGGGACGAAAGCUGGGGGAGCAAACGGGAUUAGAUACCCCGGUAGUCCCAGCCGUAAACAAUGUGCGUUANGUGUGUCGGUAACCACGUGUUACUGAUGCGCCGAAGAGAAAUCNNGAAACGCACCACCUGGGAAGUACGGUCGCAAGGCUGAAACUUAAAGGAAUUGGCGGGGGAGCACCNCNACAGGUGGAGCCUGCGGUUUAAUUGGAUUCNACGCCGGACAUCUCACCGGAUAAGACAGCUGAAUGAUUGNCAAUCUGAAGGUUUUACAUGACUAGCUGANAAGANGUGCAUGGCCA